CCGCACCUGUCCGCGCGGGGCUGCGAGCGACGGCCAGCAUGAUGAUCGCCCCACGAAGAGGGAUCUUCGCGGUGCUCGCUGGCUGUAUUUUGACUACUAGUGUGUCGCAGGAACCCGUCUACAAAGGAAAGAUUAGAGUGUUUGCGAUGCAGCUGGACAUGUGGGCGCCUCCUCGCGACGACGUCCUCCUGCGAUACAACCUCACCGAUCACUUCAAGGAGG